rnacentral:rRNA from 1 species
GACGAACGCUGGCGGCGUGCUUAACACAUGCAAGUCUAGGGAGAAAGGGGUAGCAAUAUCCCGAGUAAACCGGCGCAAGGGUGAGUAACGCGUAGGCAAUCUACCGUAAGGAUGGGAACAACCCCGAGAAAUCGAGGCUAAUACCCAAUAUUGUCCAGGUUUAGCAUUGGAUCUGGAUGAAAGGCCGCAAGGCGCCUUAUGAUGAGCCUGCGUCCCAUUAGGUAGUUGGCGGGGUAACGGCCCACCAAGCCGACGAUGGGUAGCUGGUCUGAGAGGACGAUCAGCCACACUGGAACUGAGACACGGUCCAGACUCCUACGGGAGGCUG